AGAGAGAGAGAGAGAGAGGUGGUGAAAAGAAAAGAGUGAGUGAAGAGAUGAGGUGGUCAUUUUGGAGUAUGAAGACAGAAACAUAUGCAAGGAAAAGAGAGAGAAGGUGCGAGGUGGCCCCCCAAGUUAUGUAUAUCUUUGAUAGAAGAGGAGAUUCUGAUGGAUACAUGUGUUAAUGGGUGGUAGAGAGAAAGAAAGUGACUUGUUUUUUAGGUGGUGGUUUUCUUUUGCCACUAUUGUGUGGGGUCCCAUUUGAUUGAGAAGUGCACUUAGGAUUCAAUGGUAAAAAAAUGUACUUUUUACUUUAUUUUCUUGUGUAAAAUUCAAGCAAAUUGUCAAACAAAAUUUGACAAUAAAACAUUUUUUUUUUCUAUUUAUAGUUAGAGUAUUUUCUGAGUUAAUUUGUGUAUAUUAAGUUAUUUUCCAAGUGAUUUAAGGAUAGAUGAAGCAUCUUAUAUCU
rnacentral:misc_RNA from 1 species